AAAUUAAAGAGUUUGAUCAUGGCUCAGAUUGAACGCUGGCGGCAGGCCUAACACAUGCAAGUCGAGCGGUAGCACAGAGAGCUUGCUCUCGGGUGACGAGCGGCGGACGGGUGAGUAAUGUCUGGGAAACUGCCUGAUGGAGGGGGAUAACUACUGGAAACGGUAGCUAAUACCGCAUAAUGUCGCAAGACCAAAGUGGGGGACCUUCGGGCCUCAUGCCAUCAGAUGUGCCCAGAUGGGAUUAGCUAGUAGGUGGGGUAACGGCUCACCUAGGCGACGAUCCCUAGCUGGUCUGAGAGGAUGACCAGCCACACUGGAACUGAGACACGGUCCAGACUCCUACGGGAGGCAGCAGUGGGGAAUAUUGCACAAUGGGCGCAAGCCUGAUGCAGCCAUGCCGCGUGUGUGAAGAAGGCCUUCGGGUUGUAAAGCACUUUCAGCGGGGAGGAAGGCGAUAAGGUUAAUAACCUCAUCGAUUGACGUUACCCGCAGAAGAAGCACCGGCUAACUCCGUGCCAGCAGCCGCGGUAAUACGGAGGGUGCAAGCGUUAAUCGGAAUUACUGGGCGUAAAGCGCACGCAGGCGGUCUGUCAAGUCGGAUGUGAAAUCCCCGGGCUCAACCUGGGAACUGCAUUCGAAACUGGCAGGCUAGAGUCUUGUAGAGGGGGGUAGAAUUCCAGGUGUAGCGGUGAAAUGCGUAGAGAUCUGGAGGAAUACCGGUGGCGAAGGCGGCCCCCUGGACAAAGACUGACGCUCAGGUGCGAAAGCGUGGGGAGCAAACAGGAUUAGAUACCCUGGUAGUCCACGCCGUAAACGAUGUCGAUUUGGAGGUUGUGCCCUUGAGGCGUGGCUUCCGGAGCUAACGCGUUAAAUCGACCGCCUGGGGAGUACGGCCGCAAGGUUAAAACUCAAAUGAAUUGACGGGGGCCCGCACAAGCGGUGGAGCAUGUGGUUUAAUUCGAUGCAACGCGAAGAACCUUACCUGGUCUUGACAUCCACAGAACUUUCCAGAGAUGGAUUGGUGCCUUCGGGAACUGUGAGACAGGUGCUGCAUGGCUGUCGUCAGCUCGUGUUGUGAAAUGUUGGGUUAAGUCCCGCAACGAGCGCAACCCUUAUCCUUUGUUGCCAGCGGUCCGGCCGGGAACUCAAAGGAGACUGCCAGUGAUAAACUGGAGGAAGGUGGGGAUGACGUCAAGUCAUCAUGGCCCUUACGACCAGGGCUACACACGUGCUACAAUGGCAUAUACAAAGAGAAGCGACCUCGCGAGAGCAAGCGGACCUCAUAAAGUAUGUCGUAGUCCGGAUUGGAGUCUGCAACUCGACUCCAUGAAGUCGGAAUCGCUAGUAAUCGUAGAUCAGAAUGCUACGGUGAAUACGUUCCCGGGCCUUGUACACACCGCCCGUCACACCAUGGGAGUGGGUUGCAAAAGAAGUAGGUAGCUUAACCUUCGGGAGGGCGCUUACCACUUUGUGAUUCAUGACUGGGGUGAAGUCGUAACAAGGUAACCGUAGGGGAACCUGCGGUUGGAUCACCUCCUUACCUUAAAGAA
rnacentral:rRNA from 1 species